UAUUGAAAAUUGUAAGAGAGUACAAUAGUAGGCUCAAUGACAGCUCAAGCACGAUCUAAACAGUUGACCAGAAACAAAGGAGGGUUAAAAAGACUGGAAAUUUGCGAACCAGAGGUAGAGAAAGUGUUCUUCAGAGGGAGUGUUUGAUCUUGCAGAUUUGUCGAGGGCAAUCAAUUUUCUCCUAAGAAGUAGCUGGAUUUCUUUUUUCAUCCUAUCCGUGGAGCGAAAGUCAGUAGAAUGAAUUCUUGCGUUCCUCUCUGACCAGAUGAAAUAAACUAGGGCAUGGAACAGAAGCUUGCAAAUCACAUUGAGUCUCCCAUUUGUUGUAGGUCUCUUUAUCCAGGAGAGGAAUCCAUUGUAAGAGCUUGGCAGUUGAGGGAGAAGAUGCGCAAAGAAAUCAAACCAUAAGACCUUGGAGUAAGAGCAUUGGAAGUAUAGGUGAUCCCUUGACUCUGUCCCAGCAAGACAGAGGAGACAAGAAUCAGGAACUUGCAGAUUCCAGCUUCUCAUUCUGUCUCUUGUUGUAAGUCUGUUUAGAGUUGUUAACCAGACCAUGAAAGCCAUUUUUGGUAUGCGCUCCUUGAACCAAACCUGAGUGUGCCACUGAACUUGAGAACCAACAGGAGACAAAUAUUUCUUUCUUUUUCUCUCUGUCUCUCUCUUUUUCUCGCGAUAGAAGUGCCGAAUCGACAAAGGAAGAAGAUGGAAUCGAAGGAUAUUGAAUCAGAGGAGGUUGGGGUCGGAGGUGAUGCGUAGCAGAGGAGAUUGAAUUGGCGGAGGAGAUUUCGCGAUUAGGCGAUUUGCUUUCACCUGAUUCUCUGAAGCCUGCACUAGAAGGAAUUACAUCUGUGGUAAUUAAGAAAUCUCCCGAAAAGUUAUUUAAUCAAAGAUAUGAUCUCACUAAAGAGACAAAACAGGUCAUCAAACCUGAGUUGACAUGGCCAUUGGGUGCUCCUCUGAUGCACAUGGCUGGACAUGUGGUUUAAUUAUUCAGAAUCUUUCAUGCUGCACAUAUUUCUAGCGUUUGAUCUUAUAAUUAUGCUUUGCUCUGUGGGUGAUGGUUCUGAUGGAUCGUUGUCUUCUCUGAGCUACAUCUUCAGACCAUCGAGAUUAAUGUGUGUGAGGGUUGGAAGAGAAGAAAGAAACAUUGUGAAAGUGAAUGGUUGGCGUAUGAAGCUAGAACCAUACAAGGAGAUUGUGUCUGCUGCUUUGUUUGACAUUAUAGCUCAGGUUACAGUUUCAAACACUUGUCUUACGAGUUUAGUUUUGUAAUUUUAGAUUUACUCAGAUUUUUGUGUCUUUUUUCUUCAAGCUUUUUGUAAUUACAGUUUACACAUUUAUACCACUUCUAUUCUAUUUAAAA